rnacentral:rRNA from 1 species
GACGAACGCUGGCGGCGUGCCUAAUACAUGCAAGUCGAGCGGACAGAAGGGAGCUUGCUCCCGGAUGUUAGCGGCGGACGGGUGAGUAACACGUGGGUAACCUGCCUGUAAGACUGGGAUAACUCCGGGAAACCGGAGCUAAUACCGGAUAGUUCCUUGAACCGCAUGGUUCAAGGAUGAAAGACGGUUUCGGCUGUCACUUACAGAUGGACCCGCGGCGCAUUAGCUAGUUGGUGAGGUAACGGCUCACCAAGGCGACGAUGCGUAGCCGACCUGAGAGGGUGAUCGGCCACACUGGGACUGAGACACGGCCCAGACUCCUACGGGUGGCAG